rnacentral:rRNA from 1 species
ACUCCUACGGGAGGCAGCAGUGGGGAAUAUUGCACAAUGGGGGAAGCCCUGAUGCAGCCAUGCCGCGUGUGUGAAGAAGGCCUUCGGGUUGUAAAGCACUUUCAGUAGGGAGGAAGGUAGUGUAGUUAACACCUGCACUAUUUGUACGUUACCUACAGAAGAAGCACCGGCUAACUCCGUGCCAGCAGCCGCGGUAAUACGGAGGGUGCGAGCGUUAAUCGGAAUUACUGGGCGUAAAGCGCAUGCAGGCGGCCUGUUAAGUCAGAUGUGAAAGCCCGGGGUCUUAACCUCGGAAUUGCAUUUGAAACUGGCAGGCUAGAGUCUUGUAGAGGGGUUAGAAUUUCAGGUGUAGCGGUGAAAUGCGUAGAGAUCUGAAGGAAUA